UUUGUUUGCAUAGUGGCUAACUUUGCUAGCUAUGUCAUUUCCAACUAUUUAAAACGCUCUUUGUAUGUCCGUGAGUCAAACUGUGUUGGAAACGUUAAAACGCACUCUCUCGUCGACAAGACCUGCAAUGGCUUGCUCUUAGUCAUGCAAGUAACGUUAGUUGAAAUGUAGUAACUGUUAGCUAACGGCUAACUUGACAGCUAGUAUAGCUAGGAUAGGAAUAGGAUGUGCUGUUAGGAAGUUAGCCAGCCAACACUGAUUAUGUUUCUGCUUAUUCGUCUGUUAUGCUUCUACUUGUUUUAAAUAACUUCUGCGCUAUGGACACCGAGGGAAUAGAGAUCCGUAUAAAGACUCCCGUCGGGGAUAUGGACUCAUCCGUGGACUGCCCAUCACUUUUGAGCUUCAGUGACUUGUUGGUCGCUAUAAGGGAUGUCAUGCCCGAAACCACAAUCACUGCGUUUGAAUAUGAGGAUGAGGUGGGCGAUAGAAUCACUGUGAGGAGUGAUGAAGAACUCAAAGCCAUGCUGUCAUAU